CUUUUUCUUACGUUACUUAUGUUUAACGGUAGUAGGAGUAGAUUGUUCCAUAAGACCACCUGUGACAGAGACACCUGUUGAAAAUGCCUCUCCUGAUUGGCUGCAGCCCUUAACGCUCGUGUAACUUACCUACACAAGUGACUUUUUGACACCGAGUGUGAUGGCUGGAUACCUGACGUUCAUGGCGGUGGCCGUGGUGUUGGUGGCUCUGUCUUACACCACAACACCUGCUGAGUCAAGUGCCCCACCACUCUCCUCCUGAUGAACUUCUCCAUGACCUUGCAUACUAUACACGUUAAUGAUACAG